AACGAACGCUGGCGGCAUGCCUAACACAUGCAAGUCGAACGAGACCUUCGGGUCUAGUGGCGCACGGGUGCGUAACGCGUGGGAACCUGCCCUUAGGUUCGGAAUAACUCCCCGAAAGGGGUGCUAAUACCGGAUAAUGUCUUCGGACCAAAGAUUUAUCGCCUUUGGAUGGGCCCGCGUUGGAUUAGCUAGUUGGUAGGGUAAAAGCCUACCAAGGCGACGAUCCAUAGCUGGUCUGAGAGGAUGAUCAGCCACACUGGGACUGAGACACGGCCCAGACUCCUACGGGAGGCAGCAGUGGGGAAUAUUGGACAUGGGGCGAAAGCCUGACCCAGCAAUGCCGCGUGAGUGAUGAAGGCCUUAGGGUUGUAAAGCUCUUUUCCCCGGGAUGAUAAUGACAGUACCGGGAAAAUAAGCUCCGGCUAACUCCGU
rnacentral:rRNA from 1 species